rnacentral:lncRNA from 1 species
GGACUCUCUCCGGAGCAACCAGGUCUUGAGGAACCAGUAUUAGCAUUAGAAUGCAAGCAACAACAGGCCAACCCGUGACAGAUGUGGCCCCUCCAACCUGUUAAUUCCUGAUGGUCGCAUCAGGUAACUUUGGUCCAUUGAGUGUGGGCACUUACAGUCAUCUAAUGUUAAAUUGGGUUGUCCAGUCAUAGUGAGGUUUGUCAGUGAAGGGGCUGACAGUCUGGCUAGUUCCUAUCCCUGUGUGGUAUGGGGGCCAAGGGUCGAAGCACAACCAGUGAUCCUGGCUGAGUGUUGGACCUUUUCAAGAGUGGAAAUGGGAUGGAGGAUCCCUCAGGAUCCUGAACAGUGGAAGUAGAACUGUGAUUCCAGAAGGUGCCUUUGUUGGGAGCUAUUAAGACAACACAAUUGUCCUGAUCUCUGAAUUGGGCCUCUCCCCACCCCCCCCAGAAGAAAAGGGGGUCAAAAGCAGGCCACCGACACUCCGAUUCCAAGAACAACCACAGAAUGUUCCAGCCCUAAGUCAUCAUCGAUGUCCUGACCACACCCUGAUACCACCAAGUUCCUGCUUACCAAAAGCUACUCUGUAGCUGCCAAAAGAAGAAAUUUCUAUUGCCCCCCUCCCACUGAUAAGUACUUCUCCUUUUGCUUGUAUUGCCCCACCCCUCCCACUGAUAAGUACCUGUACUUCCCCUUUUGCUUGUGCAUUUAAGCCUUGGGCCUUUCUCAAUACAGUGGGGUCUUG